rnacentral:rRNA from 1 species
GACGAACGCUGGCGGCGUGCUUAACACAUGCAAGUCGAACGCGUGGCGAACGGGUGAGUAAUACGUGAGUAACCUGCCCUCUUUUUGGGAUAAGCUUCGGAAACGGGGUCUAAUACCGGAUAAUGGGGGAUGGGCUCGGGGCCUAUCAGCUUGUUGGUGGGGUGAUGGCCUCCCAACGCGGUGACGGGUAGCCGGCCUGAGAGGGUGAACGGCCACAUUGGGACGGGGCUGCGGCCCAGGCUCCUACGGAGGGGGGCAGUGGGGGAUAUUGGACCAUGGGCGAAGAAGUGAUGCAGCGAGGCCGAGUGGGGAAUGAAGGCUGUCGGGUUGUAAAACUGUUGCGGAAUGGAACGGGUAGGUGGAGAAGAAGCGCCGGCUAACGACGUGCCAGCAGCCGCGGUAAUAC